UCUCCCCUGGGUGAACAGAAGCAGGAAAAGGAGGAAAGUCAGGAGAAAUAAAGUGGAUCCGGGGGUAGCUGUAUAUUCACAGUUCUGUUCACCAUGGUGCUCGAUGCCGGGAUGGCUUGUGAUUUCAUGGAGGUGCAGUGCAGGUGCUUGGGGAACCGGCGAGACCAUUCUUGUCUAAAUAGCUCAGGGGCUGAUGUAUUGAUAUUCUGCUGUACAAUAUGCAUUAGAUUGCCCUGCCUUGCGCCCAAGAUGCAAAAGUGGUCGCUUGAAUUGAACAUGGUCUAGUCGAGCUGCUCGAGCUUGUCUUACCUCAGAAUUUUUUUGGAGGUCUGUUGUUAUGGUGUCACCGUACUCGGUCUGUUGGGGGCAUAUGGCGCAGCAUGUUGAUAAAGUAGACAUAUCUAUCUUUCUGCAAUCACGGUGCUGGGUUGUACUGUGUCGUGUCCGGUAAAUAACUGAUUAUUGGUGAUAUCCGGUUCUGAUACUUGUUCAUUAUUCCUCUAGGUGGUGCUAUUAUUUUAGUAGUACUAAAAUUUUGACUGGAAUUCAGACAUCAGAUUAUUAUUCUCGUAUGCACAAUAUGUAAUACUUUGGAUACCGUUUUUGUUUUUCUAAGUGCUUUUUACUC
rnacentral:lncRNA from 1 species